CCCGGCGCAGCGAAACACAUGCAAGUCGAGCGGUAGAGAGGUGCUUGCACCUCUUGAGAGCGGCGGACGGGUGAGUAAUGCCUAGGAAUCUGCCUGGUAGUGGGGGAUAACGCUCGGAAACGGACGCUAAUACCGCAUACGUCCUACGGGAGAAAGCAGGGGACCUUCGGGCCUUGCGCUAUCAGAUGAGCCUAGGUCGGAUUAGCUAGUUGGUGGGGUAAUGGCUCACCAAGGCGACGAUCCGUAACUGGUCUGAGAGGAUGAUCAGUCACACUGGAACUGAGACACGGUCCAGACUCCUACGGGAGGCAGCAGUGGGGAAUAUUGGACAAUGGGCGAAAGCCUGAUCCAGCCAUGCCGCGUGUGUGAAGAAGGUCUUCGGAUUGUAAAGCACUUUAAGUUGGGAGGAAGGGUUGUAGAUUAAUACUCUGCAAUUUUGACGUUACCGACAGAAUAAGCACCGGCUAACUCUGUGCCAGCAGCCGCGGUAAUACAGAGGGUGCAAGCGUUAAUCGGAAUUACUGGGCGUAAAGCGCGCGUAGGUGGUUCGUUAAGUUGGAUGUGAAAGCCCCGGGCUCAACCUGGGAACUGCAUUCAAAACUGUCGAGCUAGAGUAUGGUAGAGGGUGGUGGAAUUUCCUGUGUAGCGGUGAAAUGCGUAGAUAUAGGAAGGAACACCAGUGGCGAAGGCGACCACCUGGACUGAUACUGACACUGAGGUGCGAAAGCGUGGGGAGCAAACAGGAUUAGAUACCCUGGUAGUCCACGCCGUAAACGAUGUCAACUAGCCGUUGGGAGCCUUGAGCUCUUAGUGGCGCAGCUAACGCAUUAAGUUGACCGCCUGGGGAGUACGGCCGCAAGGUUAAAACUCAAAUGAAUUGACGGGGGCCCGCACAAGCGGUGGAGCAUGUGGUUUAAUUCGAAGCAACGCGAAAGAACCUUACCAGGCCUUGACAUCCAAUGAACUUUCCAGAGAUGGAUUGGUGCCUUCGGGAGCAUUGAGACAGGUGCUGCAUGGCUGUCGUCAGCUCGUGUCGGAAGUUGGGUUAAGUCCCGUAACGGCGCAACCCUUGUCCUUAUUUACCAGCACGUUAUGGUGGGCACUCUAAGGAGACUGCCGGUGACUA
rnacentral:rRNA from 1 species